rnacentral:lncRNA from 1 species
CUGUACAUAGCGAUACAUGAUGUAUAAAUAGAAAAUGAAAUCAAUCAUCUCUAUCCAACUCUAAUUGUAUAAACCAAUACAAUGUGUACACGUGGAUCUAACCAACUAAAAUAACUGUCUAGCUAUCAAUUGGCUCACGACCAUCUUGGAAAAUAAAGGAAACAGCAGAGAGGCAGUAUUACUUUUGUAAAAAUGUUGGUUAACUGAUGAUGAGAACGAACUGGUAGUAGUUUGAUUGAUCCAUCGUUUACUUUAUCUUGAACAAAAUGGCAAUCGAUCUCUACGGGCUUAGUUCAUUCGUGGAAGAUAGGAUUGAAGCAAUGUGAAUUGUCGCUUGAUUAUCACAAAAUAUUAAGGUAGGAUCUUAAUUGAAAACCUGGAAAUCAUGAAGUAGUUGUUUAAGCCAAAUAAAUUCACUUGCAGUGGAAGCUAAUGCAGGAUAUUCUGCUUCGGCUGAAGAUCUAGAUAUGGUAGUUUGUUUCUUUGCUUUGCAAGAAAUUAAGGAGUCACCAAGAAACACACAAAAUUCGGUGACUGAUUUUCGCUUAUCAAGACACGAUCCCCUAGUCUGCAUCAGCAAAAGUUCUCGACUGGAAUGAAGACUAAGUAGAGAACAAAAUUUCUUGCCCUGGAGUGGCCUUUAUGUAUUGCAAAAGAUGGUGAGCUGCAUCUAAAUGUGGUUUCCUGGGUUGUGACACAAACUAGCUUAACUUGUGGACUGCAAAGGUGAUGUCAGGUCUGGAGAUAGUCAAGUACAGUAGACGACCAACCAGUCUUUUGUACAUUGAUGCAUUUGAAAUGAGAUCCCUUUCAUAUGAGCUGAGUUUCAGUUUGGGAUCCAUAGACAACGCUGCUGAUUUGCAUGCCAAAAAUCAAUUAUCCUCAAGUAGCUGCAGAGUGUAUUGUAUUUGUGACAUGAAGAUGCCCUUCUGAGAUCUUGCUAUUUUGAGUCCAAGAAAAUACUUCAACCUGGCAAGAUCUUUCAACUUAAACUGGCUACAUAGAAAGGUUUUCAGGGAGUUAAUUUCAUGAUGAUUAACUCCAAUAAUAAGAAUGUGGUCCACAUAGACUAAGAGAAGCUACAGAUCAUUUGACAAACAGCGAAUAUUCUGACUUUGACUGUGUAAAGCCAUGAUUGAUGAGAACAUUGGAGAAUUUUGAAAAAUAUUGCCGUGAUGCUUGUUUAAGGUCGUAAAUUGAUUUGUGAAGUCUACAAACCAGAUUCUUCCCUUGAAUUUUAGAACUUGUAUAAUCUCUAUAUCCCAAAGGCAAAUCCAUAUAUAUUUCUUUGAAGAGAUCACCAUUGAGGAAAGUGCUAUUUACAUCAAGUUGUGUAAUAUGCCAAUUAUUAACAGCUACUAUGGAUAAAAGAACCUUGACUGUAAUAAGUUUAGCAACAUGUGAGAAUGUAUCAAUGAAGUCCAAUCCUUCUUGCUAUGUGAAUCCUUUUGCCAUCAAACACUCUUUGUAU